AAACCGUUUUGCCAUUUUUCUGUUGUUAGAAGCGGCCCUGCAAAGCUCCCAUCUGCCCCGCAGCGAGCUGGGCUGGCGGAGGCUAAGCGCGGAGCGGCUUUGCAGCGGGGCCGGGAGCGAGCCAUGGUGGGGAGGCUAGUUACAUUUUGACUUCGUUCUUGCAACAAGCGCUUCGCAUCCACCCGCGCCAAGUGUUUCGCCCUGGAGACGGGAAGGGAUUGGGAGUGGCUGGCUCACUACAGAAGCAGCUUUUCCUCUCCUGGAAUUGACACCUCCUCAUCUAUUAUUGGGAGUGGACUACAUCCACCCUGAUUGAAUUGGCCCUGUCAACACUGGUUCUCCACUUGCGAAGUAACUCCCUGCUCUCCAUGUGGUCCUCAGACAGCAAGAGGGGAGACAAGGAGAAUCUGCACUUCUGCAAACAGAGAAACCAAAAGAAACAGCUGUUGGAUUUUGGGAGCAGACCCUGGCCUAAGAGUUUGGUCAGCAAUGUUACUGGAAAUGUGCAGCUGCUGCUUUUUCCUGCAUAGUCUUUUCCUGUCCAUCUCCCUCAUUCUUUGGGAAAGAACGCUGCAGAGACUACUCUCAGUCGGUACUUGUCAAGAUGUUGGGCUUGCAACAAUCAAUAGCAGGAUAACACCAGCAGGGCUGGAUGAAAUUCAUCAUGUGGUACUCGAGGAACUAGCUGAAGCAAUCUCAGAACUGUUGACAAUCUUUGAGAAUUCAUGGAGGACAGUAUAAAAUGAGCCAGAUGGCAAUCAUAGACAAACUGGUGUAGAUCUGAAGUAACUCCACUGAAAUGAAUGAAGUUUGUGUAUGUUGGAUUUACACAGCUAUAACUGAGAACGGGAUCUGGUUCAAUGAGAAAGAGAGCCUAAAAGGCAGCUAAAUGAAGAGACAUACUUGCCUGUCGUGUUUUCAUCUUCAACAUAUGCACUGAACUCUUCAGUUCACCGUCUAAUAUGAUUCUGCUCAAGCGACACAAGAGUUUACAUUGUACUCAUCAUAAACUGAAUGACGAGGGCUGGCAAAGGCAAUAUAUCAGUCUAGCAAGGCACAUCAGGUUUGUGAAAGUUGGAUUUACUUUUGUUUCUUUAAUGUAAUGUCCUUGUCUCUCAAAAGCCCCCUGUGACAUACCAGUGUUGACUGUAGUGACACCUACUGGUGAGAACAAAGCCAACCAAAUUGCUUCUGGCUUCAGCAUAUGUUUUUAAUUUUAAAGUCAAUUGGAGGUUUAUGGAGUUUUCUGUUCCUGCCUGACCCAUCCUCUAAGAAACAAAUGCCAGCACUUUGAAGUAAUUUUAACCCUUGCCCUAAUGACUUAACUGUGCCCGACAUCUCUGCAUGAGUACAUAUUUAGGUCAUCUAUUAGUUUAAACUAUUCUUAUUAAAAGAUUAUACUAAGGUGCAAAUUGCACUUAAUGUUGCCUCCUUGGCCAAGUGUAUAAUGCACGAACUGGAUUUUAAUGCUGCAGGUUUCUCUCUGUGUGUGUCACACAUGCACACUUGCAAAAUAUGUACCGACAUUUUCAGGGCUAAUUAAGCACGCUAAAUUAUUACCAUUGACCACUUUAAAAAAAAAAGUCUUAAUUAGACAUCUAGGCUUAUUUUCAAAAAUAGGAAGUGCGCUUAGACAUGGGGCAAAUCUAACGGUUUUAAACCGACUCUAAAUGCCAGGAGUGCCAAAAAAGCUAUUUAAGAUUUGUUUGUAAUUUGUGUCAUUGGGGCAUACCAUAUUUAUGUAUAGGGCAAAUGCCUAGUUCAUUUUGUAGUGCACAUAAAUUUGAAUGACUUGGUACAGGUCAUUUUUAGGUGAAUGUAAAGCUUGAUUAAUGGAAGAAAGCCCAGAUAUUAUAAGAUGUUUGCCUGUAGAAUUUCAAAGUGAAUUUGAUCAAAACUAACAUAAUCCAUAUCUGUAAUAAAUUAAAACACACCCCCUCCCCCGUGCCUUUAAGUGACUCUGCGGGGGAAACUAUUAAGUUUGGAAAAUUAAGGCUAAAUCUGAAACUCGGAGUGAAUUCCUGGCCACACUGAAGUCAGUGGGCAAACUCCCAUUGACUUUAAUAGGACUAGUAUUCCACCCUCUGUUCUAAAAGCUUCAGAGACAGUGUCAAGGUAACUUCCAUGGUAACACACAAUCGGUCCAUCUAAUACCUAGUCUCCAGCAGUUACCAGUCCUUCAGAGGAAAGCAACAACAAUGUGUUAACUCAGAUUUUGUCUAGAUAUAAUACUAGGAUCACAGCUGUUCAAUAGAUUGUCCAACUGGAUAAGGGGACAAGUUGUGAGGUUGUGAAAUUUGCCUGUUCACAAAGGGUCAUAUUCUGCCCUCCUGACUCAAAUCAAGUAGCUCCUUACACUGAGAAAUUAACAGGACUACGCUAAGAGUAAGGUGCUACUCAGUGUGAGUAAGGGUGGUGGAAUCUGGUCCAAAAAUAUUUAGGUUAGUCAAGAUUAGAGAGAGUGGUGAGGUGCUGCCCAGAAGCUGUGACAGAUACUAGCCAUGUUGCUUAAUGUAUCUCUGGAAGGUGCACAGAUGCCAUGGUGAGGGGUAUGGUAUGAGAACUUGGAGAUACCUAACAAAACUAGUGCAAGAAAUUGGGUUAUUGGCAUUUGAAAUUCUACACAAAAAUAUGCAAAGAACUAAACAGUGGGACAGAAAACAGGCUAAUCAUAUGCAGCAGUGGGUGCUCAACUGAGUUUUAUAAGGUUGGAUCAGAAGUUCUCAGGACAAAGGUCUGGGCAUCAUUACAGACAGCAUUGUGAAGAUAUCUGCUCAAUGGGCAGCAAGGGGUUGAGCAAUGAAUAAGAAGCCAGAGGCUAUAUGAAGGAGACAGAAAAAUAUGGACUAUGUUACCAUUCACUUUGCGUGACUCCUCUCAGAAAGGCUGGAGCUGCAGUAGAAAUGGACCAGGAAGUGCAGAAAAAUGAAUAGAGGCAUUGGGAAGAGGUUGUGAGGGCGUUUCACACAAGGAGAGUUUUUUUUUAAAAGCAAAGAUUAUGUACAGCCAUAUCACCGCCCCUCCCUCAUUGUGCAGUGCAGAGGAGAGGAAUGGAGUGGAAACUACCUGAAUGUCCCAAAACAUGUUGGCAAGAAGAGAGCCAAAGUGACAUCAACCCCCUCUCCCCAGAAUACUGUGCAGUUAGGGCUCACUGGGAUGCAUAGCCAAACAGAAUGUGUGGUACAAUAUGUGCCAUCCUUCCUAGCAAUCCAGGAGGUAGCUCUCCCAUGCCUGCAGACUGUGGCUCAUGCCCACCUCUCCCUACUGCUGCAUUUGCUCCUACCCCCAGGAGCUGGGUUUACCCACCAACUUCCAGAUGUCGCCAGCCUUUGUUUAUUAUCAACUCUGUGUAUCAGGAAUCUGUGCAGCAACUUGUGGGGAGAAAAGCCAAUGGAAAUGAUCCCUCCACAUUCCAUAAUGCUCUCUUGGACCUGUUCACUCUCCAUCCAGCUUGGGAGGGAGGGGGCUCAUCAUUAGCAGAAUUCUUAUUUCCUUGGUGCUGGUAAGCAGCCAUGACUGGGGGAGAAAGCGAAGUUCAGGAUGUUCUUCAGUCAAACUGGCAUAACAUGGUAAAGGGUCCAGCAGAGCUGGUAGGCUCAGAUUUUGACUAGAUAUAUAUAGGUCCUGGGAGGAGCCUCAGAAAAUAACCAUCAGAAAAGAGCUACCUAGGCCAGGGGAGGGGUGUGUAUCUCUCCUGCCCCCAAUAGGUGGAGAAGAAAUGGGGAUGAUUCCACCCAUAACCAUCCAUGUAAGUGGGAUACUCCAUUUCCUGCCUGUUUGCGAGAUGAGUAGGGUGGGAUCUUCACCCUCUGGCUGAGUCAGUGGAAUGGCGCUUUCAGCAGGGAGACAUCUCUUCCCCUAAUUUUUUCUGGAUGAUUAAACAUCAAUCAGCCUGGGAACCUGGUCCUAUCUUAAGGACACUGAGUGAACUAUAAAUAGCAAUUGGGCUGGACAUAAUCUGUGACCCCCCAGCCCUGAGAAGAGAGCAGUUUUGGGCAGGCUGGUAACCAAACAUCAUCAUCAAACAUGCGUAGCCUACUACGGACCAUUGCACCAACCAGAGUGCCCGCAGUUGAUGGCAUCACACCAGACACCAUGAAGUUCCUAGAUCUGGCUCAAUCCUGUGAAUCCACAAAUCUUUGGGGCAGCAUUGCAGGUGGUGCGAGGUAGGCUCAAGGCAUUCACCCUUUCACACGUCGGGUGAUUUUGUUGGUUUUGUUUAUCCUGGUGACAUGGCCAUAGAGCAUGCAAGAUCGCUUUUGAAUAUAGUGAGUGACUGAAGGAAGGCCAGACCUUUCGCAAGAGUGUGACAUUUUGCACAAAGUCAUACUCUUUAUGCUCAGGAUUUGCACUGACAGGGCAUAGGGAAUGGCUCUAGCCACUCCAGGUCUACCUGUAAGCGGGCCCAGGUUUCUGAUCUGAACAGCGAUACAGGCAGUACACAGGUUUGAUAGAUCCUGAACUUUGUCUCAGCGCAAAGAUGUUUUUGCAUCCAUAGGCAAGACAUGCACUUCAUAAAGGAGGUGGCGAGACUUAUUUGUUGAAGAACAUCUGGUUUGCUGCAACCCAGCAAGGUGUUAGGAGCAAUUAGUUAAAAGCAGGAUUUUUAAAACUCCAAAAAGUACUUGGCUACUGUCUUCAGCUUGGCUUUGCUUUUAUUUAAAAGCUCUGUAUAAACAAGGGAUCAGAAAUAAUGCAGCAAAACAAGAAAAUAUGAAUAGAGAGCUGAACACAUAGUUAUUUAGCUGUAACUCUAACAAACAAUGCAGACAGAUAUUGCUGCUGAUAAAAUUCAGGUAAAUAUACUACUCAGAAUGUGACUAAAGGGAGAGGAAAAUCAUAUGCAAUUAAGCACUGAUCCAGCUCCCCUUCAAAUCAAUGGAAAGACAUUCAUUGACUUCAGUGGGAGUGGGACUGGGUCCCUAAGGAGCUAAGGAAUGUAGAUCUUUUAUGUGUAAUAAUGUGCCAUUAUGAACUACAGA